CAGAUCUUUUGCUACUUCUCUGCCUUGUUAGGUAAUAACACUUGUAAGGCAUGUUGCAUAUUUGCAGCUCUGGAGGUCAGGCUCACUAAAUUGGAGACCAAAUUUUGUGUGUGUGUGUGUGGGGCAGACGAUCGAGGACAGAGCUGGCCCAGACGCCUGUCUGCUUGCCUUUUCUCCAGUUUUGAUCAUUAUGUGCUGUCUACGUGAGGUCCACAGUGUAUGGGAGGAAGAGGAAAGGCAGCAAGUAGUUGCGCUGUCCCAAGCAUAUAAGACUCGUGAAAAAUCUGUGAUUAUCAGCUGCAUUUAUCUAAUAUUAAAUCACUCACAAAAAAUGCAAUUUCAUAUAUUUUAUUUUUUGAUUUUUCAUUAUAUUUUUGUUUGUUGUAUAGGCUAUAUACAGGGUUCCUUAAUUUUUUUUCUGUUAUUAUUUUAAUAAAAUGCAACUCUGGAACUGCCAAAUGUUUUCUGACUUAUACACAAUUUAUUUUUAUUGUAUACUAACAGUAUGUUAAGACCAAGAGACUUGAUAGGGCUCUAUAAAGGUUGCAGACUUUACUUCAGAACUUUUCUUGUCCAUCUUCCAUUGGUUUUAAUUUUGCACUCCAGUAUGAACACCCAUCCCCUAACCCGAGGAUCACCACAACAUAACCUAACAGACCUAGACCUUAGUUCACAGAUUUGCUUUGUCUAGGGUUUAUUUCUGGGAUUUCGCACAACCCAGGGUUCAAAUCAUGAAUCCAUAAUGGGCUUGGAUUUACAACAUUAUGAAUGAAAUGUGCUCUAUUUGGAAGAAGCAGGCCCCCCUCCCCUUUCGACGGGUUGUGUGUGAGACUUUAAAUCGAGGGCGUAGCUUUGGUUUUGGCAUUGGUAGGGACGGAUGAUUCAACCACCAAACCCUGCCCUGUUUUUUUUUUUUUUGUUUUUUUUUUUUGUUGUUUUUUUCCUUUUUUGUCUUUGCUUCUUGAUUUUUUUUUUUAAAAAAAGGAGAAAUAUACUUGCCUACAUAUGCUAGUCUACAUGCUUUUAAACCAUUUAAAAUUACAAUUCAUAGUUUUGUGUGAAUUAUAUAAUGUUAAAUUACUAUUAAACAAAUGACUAAGAAUUUUAGACUUUAGUUUACUUCAGCCAUAUUCCAUAUAAAUCAGGUAUCAUAUAAAAAUAGCUUCAAAUACAGUCAUGACAAUAAAAGAAUAUGACUUUAACAACAUUACUUCAGUUAUAGUACACAAACAUCUCUGAUACAUUAGCACUAAGGGAACAGUGAAUGACCUGGUGGUUUUUGUCUAUAAAACUACUCUAAGAUUACCACAAAGUAAAAGAUCUCGCAGCAAAAUUAUGCAACAUUUUAGGCACUAUUGCCCCGAUCAAAUCAGUGAGCUGGGAUUUUUCAUUCUAAACAUGAACUACUGUUACAGCAACAGCCAUGGAUUACUGGUGCCCCACACAACUCAAUGU
ensembl:lncRNA